rnacentral:lncRNA from 1 species
AUGUCCCGAGAACUCCACAAUCGUGUCACUAGAGGUUGGCUCUGCACAUAUAUCCCUUAUCUCUUGUACCUUAGUCCAAUCCAUUGUGUUCUCCCCAUCCACAUCACUCCCAGACCCAUAAUUCCCAGAGAAACCCAUAAACGACUCAUCAUCUGUGGGAGCAAUGGGUCUGGGAGUGAUGAGGAUGGGGAGAACACAAUGGAUUGGACUAGGGUACAAGAGAUUGGGAACAUAUGUGCAGAACCAACUUCUAGCAACACGUUUGUGGGGUUUUCAGGAUGUGAGGAUUGGCAAACGGGAGGUACAUCCGAGUCGUGGGGAAACCUAAGUCUUGACAGGAGAUGGAGGAACUGGAGGGAUGGAAACAGGGGAUCGUGUGUGAAGACAAGGACAGCUGUUAUAGAUGAUGAUGGGGUGGAGGCCAGCUCAUCAUCGGACAAUGAUAUGUAAGUUAAAAGUAGGCUCUGAAAUGGGGAAUCUUGGCAGAAGGCAAAGUGUUGGUUUUGUAUCGUGUGUAUUUUGUCGCUGCCUGUUCUCGUGUUGGGUUUUGGUUUUGGGUUCUGCAGCUUGGAGUUCUGUUUCCUGAGAAUUCUUGACAUUUGGACUGGCUUAUCGUGAGUGUGGCUUUCUCCCUUCCUGGACUCUUGGAUUGAUUAGACAAUGGCUCUGUUUGACCACCUUAGUGACGAUGUUUGGAUUGGCUUAUCGUGAAUGUGGCUCUCGUCCUUCCUGGACCCUUGGAUUACCUCAACUAUGGCUCUGUUUGACCACCUGGGAAACGACGUUUGUUUGGACUCCUUUUACGGUGCCUCUGUGUGAUGUCUCAUGGGCCAUGUAGUCCCCUUCCUAGUAUUAUUGUGGCGGACGAAGAGAAAAACUUGGGUUUCCCACCGUUUCAGCCAGAAUUGGAGCCCCUGCACCUGCAAGAUGUUUGCCCACAAGAAGUCAGCCAAAGAAGCCUUGAGCAGAAAUCUCCCCCGUUCUCUCGCCGGGAUAAUUAUAAUCGAGAUAGAGGCGCUAGGGAAGCGAAUUGCCGAAGCGCCAGAAUCGCUGCCAGACAAUUAGCUGAUUAAGCCUGUUUCCCUUGGGAAAUCUUAAGGAGUCAUGCAUCUGGACACAGUAUGGGUUUCACUUCUUGUUCCCCAGGGAAAGUGUUCCUUGGCGGGAAAACGAGAUCCUAUAUAGGUGUUUACCCGCAAGGAAAUCCUUGCGGAGUCAAUUCGUCAGCUUCAGGAGUGAGGUCGUGUGUGGACUACGCUACUCCAGUUCCUUGUUUCCAGGACCUUGCCACGGACCUUGUUCUAGUUCCAAGCCUGCCUUGUCCCCGGACCUCGCCACGGACCUCGUUCUUGCUUCUUGCCUCUUGUUGCCACGUAUCAAGUCUUGUUUGCCAAUAAUCUAGCUUGCUUCCAGCCUUGUUGUCAAGCUCCAUUGGACUAAAGGACCCUGUCAUUUCCCCACACUUUGCUUGGCAAAGUGUGUGUUUCGGUUAUUGGAUUAUAACUUUGGACUCUAAUAUCACAUAUUGGACAUUGUUUUCCUGGACUAAAUUUGACCGUUCCUGAAAGGUCUACUUCUGAACUAUAUUCUUCACUUGUUUUUAUUGACUUUAUAUAUUCCUUUAAUAAAGAUAUUAGAUAGAAUCUGGCCUCUGCGCAUGGUUAUUGGUGCUCUGCAGCCUGGGUCCUGACAGUUUGACUCCGCCACCCUAAGCACCAAUUACCUUAG